UGGGGAUUGAACCCCAGUCUACAGCGUAGAAGGCAGAGGUGUUAACCACUACACUAACCAACCACCAGUAUACACUACACUACCCCUCCUCCUAGCAGUGCUGUGUCUCUUCAGUACACUAACAGAACUUGCUAUAGGAACAUCCUGGGAAUUUUAGUAAACUUAACAAACAUAACCUUCUAGUGUCUCUUAAAACAUCUUAAAAUUCAAUUAAACAUAAAUAGUCCUUCUUCUUCUUUUUUUUUUAGGUCUUGUAUCUUGCAGGUUUGUGAACUUCCCGCCCCCUUAAUGUCUUUACUGUUUAAGGUCCCAUUUUCAUAGAAUUGCUGUCCUGUUGAGCUGCUUGAUUUUCUCUUGUCCAGAGGUCUGACCAUCCUUUAAAUCUUCUGCCCCUUGCUUUUGUCCCUGUGUCUCAGGUUGUGUCAUCUGCUUUUCGGCUUCCAGAUAAUCUGAGAUCAUUUCAGGAUAGCUGCUGGCAGGUUGCUGGUCUGUUCCAUGGUGCAAAUCAAGUUGUAUGCCGGUAUUUGUGGGAACUGCACUGCAUUGUAGGGUUUCAUUUCUCCAGCGUAGGAUCCAUGCUGGUAUCACCUCACUGUUAUAAGGCUUGAGGCGAUCAUGAUGCGUAACCUUUCUGUGUCACAUUUCUUGAACUUCAUAGAGUACAGGGCCAUAAUAUGCAGAGACCACACAUGGUCCCUUCCAGGGGGCCUGCAGUUUUGGACUCUGACCUCUCUGUGUACUGGUAUCCCUCAGAUAGACAAGAUCUCCUACAUUGAAAACCUUUUCUUGUGUCCUCAAGUCAUACACUUUCUUUUGUCGCUGUUGUGCCACUCUGAGAUGUUCCUGGGCAGCAUUGUGGGCCUCCUUCAUUCCCUCUUCCAGAUGAUGGAGAAACUCUGGGACUUCCGUAGUGAUAGAUUUCGGCUCUGCAACACCGGACCAGAUAACUUGAGCUCUGACAGACUCUGCCUGGAGGUGUGAGUACCCCGCUGAGACUCAUGGGAGGCUGGGCCAUUGCCAUGACGCCCACACAGCUGCUUACAGAGCCGGCUCACCCACAGAGGGACUGUUGUGACCCUUCAAGACGGGACGUCCCAGCCCAGAACUGACCCGCUCUAUGUAGAGUGAGUGUGGAUGGGUCUAUGUGAGACAGACAUUCUUGGGAGAUGGAAUGUUGGAAAUGGAAAAUAAGUGUUGUCUGUAUGAAUGUUUUGAGAGUGGCAAGUUUGUGUGUGUGUGUUUGUGUGUGCGUGUUUAAGCCUCCAACCCUUCUUGUCGACAGACGCUGCAGUAUUUCGGUGCUGCGAAAUGAAAGCCAGCCACCAGAGAGUGUUAGUCUGGGGAGAGCCGUCUUCUUCUCAGUCUCUCCCCAAAUAAAUAAGAAUUUUUGAUUACAGUAACAGGCCCAUGAAUUAUGCAGAUGUGGGGAUGAUGCAGUGGAGAUGAAAGAUGGGCUCUUUAACCUUUCACUGCGGCACCACUGCCACUGCUAUGAACUAGACAGAGCCGUCUCCUUCCGCCACUGCUGUCUGGCCAUGGGUGGAUCUCCAGACAGAGAAUUGGGAAGAAGGGGGAGGGGGGUCCUGUACUUUGUCAUUCAUUUUCCAUUUAGAAUGUCCUGCCAACAUCUUACAGUAAUAAAAGGACCUAGCAUGGUUUUAA